rfam:Oleispira antarctica strain RB-8, complete genome sequence.
GUUGUCGCGAGGCAGGGUCUGGAGGAGGUUCAAGACGAAAUCGCGGAACGAUGAACAAGAACCCGAUCUGAGGUGUGACGUAUCCAUGGCCAGUGGGCACGUGACCACCAAGCCCUCCAUCUGCAAUUGGGAUACGUUUUAUAAAUUGGGCGUUUACGCGAGGAAAGUUAAAUGU